rnacentral:rRNA from 1 species
GAUUUGAACCUGCGGAAGGAUCAUUAUUGUAUAUUAAAAACAUAUAAUAAUUGAUACUUGAAAUAAAGUGAAGUGUGAAGUUUAUUUCACAAAAAAUUUACUAGGUAGCCGUACGAUGAGCUUUAAAGAAUUUUGCCUAGUGUCCCUACCAUACAUAUACAUAUUGUAGUAUGGUGAUAGAGGUGGAGUAGAUAGUCGCUACUCAUUUACCUUCUAUCAUAGUUUAUUUAUAACAUAAAAUGUAUGUUUGUAAAACAAAAUAUAAAAAUAUAAAAAAAUGAAAACCUUAAACAGGGGAUCACUUGGCUCAUGGGUCGAUGAAGACCGCAGCAAACUGCGUGUCACCAUGUGAACUGCAGGACACAUGAUCAUUGACAUGUUGAACGCAUAUUGCACCUCAUGCGAUUAGAUUUUGAUUCAAGUAAUUGUUUUAAAAUCUGUGUGAGGUACACAUGGUUGAGUGUCGUUAUUUAUAUAUUAAACUAUCUUUUGUGCAAAAGUACAAAAGUGCAGAUGCGGUUUUACCAUACAUAUAAUGUGUGUGGUAUGCUGUGAAAGAUUGGAGAUGAUUUAAUAAUUUCCACUAUUAUUACUUACACUUAUAGUAUAACGUAUGUAGUGGUUUAAAAAAUUUAAAUUUAAAUCUAAUAAUAAUAAUAAAAUAUAAACGACCUCAACUCAUGUGUGA